rnacentral:lncRNA from 1 species
CCAUCCUCAUAUAUGAAAACUUUCAUAUUCUCCCAUCCUCAUAUAUGAAAACUUAUAAUAUAAACUCAAUAUAUGGCUCUUAUCCUUAAGACGAUAUUCAAUUUGUAAAAUAAGAAUCUUUCAUGGUUGAGAUGACUUGUAUGAUUUGAAAAAUAAGAAUUUUUGAGGUCAAAACUAUAUAAAUAAACCAAAAUAAGUUCAUUGCUUUUUCCCAAAAUUUGUUUGGUCUACAACUUGUAAAAAAGUUCAUUUCUUUUUCCCGAAUUUGCUUGGUAUAUAGGAAAAAGAUUCUUCUUUCUCCAUCAAUUUUCAGCUUAGGAGAAAUAUCAGGAAGUUGAUCUGAGCUGUAAUAAGCUAUCAGACAGAGAUGUGGAUUCAAUUGGUUGACAUUAGGGUCUGCAGUUUCGGUGCCGAUACUGAGCCAGUACCUGAUCGUUAUGAUAUGGUACCUAACUUGACUGUAUCGAUACUCGGUAUGAAACUUGUAGCGAUUCAAUACUUGUACAGCAUUUUUUGACUGUUUUUAUUUUUCCCAUUUUCUUGUUUUCGAAAAUUAUUUUAAGGCUUAUGCAUGUUUAAAAAUUAAAAGUACUGUAGUGUAC